CGCUUCUUCUCAUUAGAUCUUACCCUUCCUGAGUAAUAGAGUUACAAUAAUCUACUACGAAUUUGUCAAAAAGUCAGAAUGUUUCUUCGUUUUACAUUCAUCUUAUUGUUUGUAAUGACGGUUUCACAAGCCACUGAUUGUAAUCGACGUUGUUUUAAUCGUGGAACUUGCAUUGCUGUAGGGGGUUUGGCUAUGUGCGAUUGUAGAGGAACUGGCUAUAGAGGCAGGUUGUGUAAGACUGUAGACCCAAUCAAUAAAAGAGAACCAUGUACACCUUCGUGGAAAAUUUUGUGUUGAUGUCAAGUCUGAAAAUACCGGUAUGCUAUUUUGUCGUCGAGAAAAAUUACCAAUUGAUACAUAGAGCUGCUAAAGCUCGUAGCAGAGUCACAUUGUAUUUGGAUCUUUUCAUCUUGUGCCAUCAACAUAAGAACCAAUUAUUGUUAUCACAUUAUAUUUUGUACAAAGUUCUUAAUUCUCAAUAGACUGAUAUUUUUGUUUAGGUUAUAUCUAUAAACAGAAGCCCUCGCCAUAUCCUCGGUGUUAUAACCUUUCAAAGAAAACCCAGUAGGCCAUUUGAUAGAUGAGUUAGUGUUGUUAAAAUACUCAACAAGGUUUAUUCUUACGACAACAUUUUAGAUCACAUAUUACAAAUUCAAUGUUUUAUGUUUUAUUGUUCAUGGAGUAGGCCUAUAUACUGUCGUGUUAAAAUAUCUUUACUGUAAAUUACAGAAUGUACACAAUAUGUGUGAAUAAAGUUUUAUUGGUGAAAAAUGUUA